GUCAAACGCAAUGGCUCCCGCGGGUUGUGGUCGGAGCGCUGGCGGGGGCGUGAUCGUGACGUUAAGGGCGGUGCCCAGUCAGCGAGGAGCUAGAAUGACUUGUCAGCCACCUUUGAGCAAGAACUUGCCUGGAGUCCAAAUGUAUGGCUAUUGAAGGAUAGUAAGCAGACAGCACUAAAAGUCAUCCAUUCGUUAUGGAUUUAGUCUUAAGACCCUCAUUUGAGAGAUGCCUUCCCUGUACCUGGAGGAAAGAAACAUCCUUAUCUCUGAAGACACAGGGCCACAGAGAAGAGUCUGAACAAACAGGCUUUACCAAUUUCCCCCAGUUGUUACCGUUAGAUCAGACCUUUGUCCAGUCAUACCUUUCCACAAGUUGUCCACUCAUCAACCCUAAGCAUAAAAAUGCACAAGUUUCCCUGUUUGUUUGGGUCUUCAUUUCCAAGGGCUCCUAUGUCAUGUUAAACUUUUAAAUAAAUUUGCAUGCUUUUCUCUUG